rnacentral:rRNA from 1 species
CAGCCGCCGCGGGAAUACGAAGGGGGCUAGCGUUAUUCGGAUUAACUGGGCGUAAAGGGCGCGUAGGCGGACUGAUAAGUCAGGGGUGAAAUCCCAAGGCUCAACCUUGGAACUGCCUUUGAUACUGUUUGUCUUGAGUUCGAGAGAGGUAAGUGGAACUGCGAGUGUAGAGGUGAAAUUCGUAGAUAUUCGCAAGAACACCAGUGGCGAAGGCGGCUUACUGGCUCGAUACUGACGCUGAGGCGCGAAAGCGUGGGGAGCAAACAGGAUUAGAUACCCCGGUAGUCCCUGUCUCUUAUAC